rnacentral:tRNA from 1 species
CCUGAUGGUUCAGACAGUAAAGCAUCUGCUUACAAUGCAGAAGACCCAGGUUUAAUCCCUGGGUCAGGA